GGAGCAUGUGGUUUAAUUCGAAGCAACGCGAAGAACCUUACCAGGUCUUGACAUCCUUUUGAAUGGUCUAGAGAUAGAUCAGGCCUUCGGGACAGAAGAGACAGGUGGUGCAUGGUUGUCGUCAGCUCGUGUCGUGAGAUGUUGGGUUAAGUCCCGCAACGAGCGCAACCCUUAUCAUUAGUUGCUAACAUUCAGUUGAGAACUCUAAUGAGACUGCCAGUGAUAAACUGGAGGAAGGUGGGAUGACGUCAAAUCAUCAUGCCCCUUAUGACCUGGGCUACACACGUGCUACAAUGGCCGGUACAAAGAGUUGCGAAACUGUGAAGUUAAGCUAAUCUCAUAAAGCCGGUCUCAGUUCGGAUUGUAGUCUGCAACUCGACUACAUGAAGUCGGAAUCGCUAGUAAUCGCGAAUCAGAAUGUCGCGGUGAAUACGUUCUCGAGUCUU
rnacentral:rRNA from 1 species